UAUUCUCAAUUAAAUUGACAAAUAUUGAUAAAAAAAGAAAUAUUUUAUUGAAUUAUAGUGUGAAUGUUUUACCUGGCUUAUGUGUGUUUUUAUUGAAGAGAAAAAAAAAACAUAUAUUAUAAUUAAGGGUAGAAUCCUGUGAUAACCAAUUUUGAAAGGGGUUCUUUUAAUUAAUGGUGUGUGUGGAACUCUAUAUCUACAAAGUUUUAUCUGACUGGUCAAAUACUUUGUUGACAUUGAUGUCCUAUUGACCAUACUUUGUACUAUUGACCAGUCACUAUGUAUAAUACAUCCUUGAAAAAUGUGAUCUUGAUUAGUGAUUACCCAAAUAUUACAUGCCUUAAUUAAUAAUUCAGUAGGUAUUAAUUAAUUCUACCUAAACAAGAUUUUAC
rnacentral:lncRNA from 1 species